rnacentral:rRNA from 1 species
GACGAACGCUGGCGGCGUGCUUAACACAUGCAAGUCGAACGAAGUGGCGAACGGGUGAGUAAUACGUGGGUAACCUGCCCUCCUUUUUGGGAUAAGCCUUGGAAACGGGGUCUAAUACCGAAUAAAGGGGGAUGGGCUCGCGGCCUAUCAGCUUGUUGGUGGGGUGAUGGCCUACCAAGGCGGUGACGGGUAGCCGGCUUGAGAGGUGGACCGCCCACAUUGGGACGGAGAGACGGUCCAGAGUCCUACGGGAGGCAGCAGUGGGGAAUAUGGCACAAUGGGAGCAAGCCUGAUGCAGCAAAGGCGAGAGUAUGAAGAAGGACGGCGGGGUGUAAAGUAAUUGCAGCGUGGAGACGUUACGCGCAGAAGAAGCACCGGCUAACUCAGUGACAGCAGCCGCGGUAAUUC